UACGAAGGGGGCUAGCGUUGCUCGGAAUCACUGGGCGUAAAGGGUGCGUAGGCGGGUCUUUAAGUCAGGGGUGAAUCCUGGAGCUCAACUCCAGAACUGCCUUUGAUACUGAAGAUCUUGAGUCCGGGAGAGGUGAGUGGAACUGCGAGUGUAGAGGUGAAAUUCGUAGAUAUUCGCAAGAACACCAGUGGCGAAGGCGGCUCACUGGCCCGGUACUGACGCUGAGGCACGAAAGCGUGGGGAGCAAACAGGG
rnacentral:rRNA from 1 species